CGUCUCGUGAUGUCAUGUUCUUUAAUGUUUAAAAGCCCAAGAGUUCUCCUUGGCUUUUAUCUCAGUCAGGUUCUACCACUGAUAACCUUAGGACUCAGUACAGGCUUAAGGUGAAUCUCUAUUGUAUUAACCAUGCGACCUCAGGAAACCAACAAUGAAGUGACCAAAUUAGGGACUACCUACUACACGGUGAUGGAGAGGGCCCUCUUAACACCCCGUGAAAAAUACAGCGAGCCUAUCACCGAUAGCAUGAACAUUGGAUGGCAUGUCAACAAGGAGAACACAGCAGAGGCUUCAGUUCAAAGGAAAUUUGGAAGGCGGGUCACUGAUGUUACCAGUUUUUCGAGCAAUUUUCCCAUGUGCCGCCAGCAUAGUCCUCCCCCAAGGAAGACCACCGCCGAUCACCCACGCCCCGUCAUGGGGCGGGCCCCCAAAACCAGCACAGACUGGAGGACAGCAGACCCCAAAGCACCAGCCCCACCAGCUACCCAUUACAAUAUGAUGGAGAGGGCCCGCUUAACGCCCCAUGAAAAAUACACCCAGCCUAUCACCA
rnacentral:lncRNA from 1 species